CACGUGGGUAAUCUACCUUUGAGUGGGGAAUAACAUCGGGAAACCGAUGCUAAUACCGCAUAAUGCAKCGGCACCUAAUGGUGACAGUUGUUAAAGAUUUAUCGCUUAAAGAGGAGCCCGCGGCAGAUUAGCUAGUUGGUAAGGUAACGGCUUACCAAGGCUACGAUCUGUAGCCGGUCUGAGAGGACGGCCGGUCACACUGACACUGAAUAACGGGUCAGACUCCUACGGGAGGCAGCAGUCGGGAAUUUUGGGCAAUGGGCGAAAGCCUGACCCAGCAACGCCGCGUGAAGGAUGAAGUAUUUCGGUAUGUAAACUUCGAAAGAAUAGGAAGAAUAAAUGACGGUACUAUUUAUAAGGUCCGGCUAACUACGUGCCAGCAGCCGCGGUAAUACGUAGGGACCAAGCGUUGUUCGGAUUUACUGGGCGUAAAGGGCGCGCAGGCGGCAUGACAAGUCACUUGUGAAAUCUCCGGGCUUAACUCGGAWCGGCCAAGUGAUACUGUCGCGCUAGAGUGCAGAAAGGGCAAAUCGGAAUUCUUGGUGUMSCGGUGAAAUGC
rnacentral:rRNA from 1 species